UGUCUCUGUCUGUCUCUGUCUAUCUCUCUCUGUCUCUGUCUCUCUCUCUCCCAGAGAACAUUGGCAGCAGAUAAGAAUGAAAUCCUGUUUUCUGAGUUUGAUAUCAAUUACAACAAGGAGCCUCUGGUCCACAGGAAAGGAACAGCCCUAAUCUGAGAAGCUGGAAGAAACAGUGACCACGAGUGUGAAGCUCCCCAACGAGGAGGAGGAGGAGCCAGUGGCACGAACCAGGAGGCGUGUCAGUGCCCACCGCUGUGACGUCAUAGGGGACGAGUUCUGGGAGGAACACCCCAACAUUCUAGAAGACGACUGCUGAAAACGUUUCCUAGAGGAGCAGAAACCUGCACAGUGGUUAACGUUGAACAUGGACAGAGUCUAGGGGGAGUUUGUACUUCUAUAUGCUCCUGCUGUGGGAUGGAGAGGGUUGGAAGCUGUCAGGGACUGUAUGGAUACUCUUAAUCACUAACUGUCAGCGGGGGCAUAACUCAAACACCAUCAUGCUCUUUGCUCAUGUACUGUAUACAAAUAUUUUAAAUACGGCCUGUCUUAUGUCUGGAAACAUUAAACCAAGAGAAUGUG